GCCGAUGAAUUGGACGCAGCAGCAUGCGACGUACGAUGCAAACAGCAGCGCCAACGGAAUGUCCAAUAUUGCAAUCCG
rnacentral:rRNA from 12 species